rnacentral:tRNA from 1 species
ACUUUCAAAGGGCUCCAAGUUUAGCCCAUCAGCCUUAGGAGCUGACCAUCCU